AAUGAACGCUGGCGGCAGGCCUAACACAUGCAAGUCGAACGAGUGGCGGACGGGUGAGUAAUGUCUGGGCAACUGCCUGAUGGAGGGGUAUAACUACUGGAAACGGUAGCUAAUACCGCAUACCAUCAGAUGUGCCCAGAUGGGAGUAGCGAGUGGGUGGGGUAACGGCGCACCAAGUCGCCGAUCCCUAGCUGGUCUGAGAGGAUGACCAGCAACACGGGAACUGAGACACGGUCCAGACUCCUAAGGGCGGCAGCAGUGGGGAAUAUUGCACAAUGGGCGCAAGCCUGAUGCAGCCAUGCCGCGUGUAUGAAGAAGGCCUUCGGGUUGUAAAGCACUGUCAGCGGGGAGGCGUUACCCGCAGAAGAAGCAACGGCUAACUCCGUGCCAGCAGCCGCGGUAAUUC
rnacentral:rRNA from 1 species